AGAUUUGUUCGUAGAGCGCGAACAAGCAAAUAUUAAAGAACGCUCAAAUAGA
rnacentral:ncRNA from 1 species